GGGUGUAUAGCUCCGUGGUAGAGCGUGUGCUUAGCAUGCAUGAGGCCUGAGUUCAAUUCCCAGUACCUCCA
rnacentral:tRNA from 1 species